rnacentral:rRNA from 1 species
AGGAGUGAUGGUGAGGCUGAACCCUCAUGGGCUCCGGAGUUGAGGAACUUAGAUGCUCCUUGCCCAUCCUUGCUGGUACGUAAUGGUUCUAAUGGAUGGGCUAAUGGGGAAGCGUCAUCAACUACCUUAAUCGAGAGAUAUGUGGCAAUGGGUUUUCAAACGAAAAUGGUCGUGAUGAGCAUCAAGGAGAUUGGUAAUACUGAAAGUAACCAAUUUCAUUUCAUUUUUCUUCUUUGUGUUUGCAUCGUUUGUCUAAUCGAGGCUUUUGGUUUUUCUUUCAGUGACGAAAAUGCAUUACUUGAACUACUUUUGACAUACAAGGCACUAGGUGAUGAAGAUGCAUUGGGUAACUGCUCUACUUCUGGCUGUGCCCCCCUUAGAGUUGAACAUGGUCAUGAUCUUGAUUUUGAGAGCUCAGAUGGUGAUGACGAUGCUGGUGAUACACAGCCCAACUCCGAGAAUUUUAUACAAAAGAUGUCAGAGCUGGACAAGAAGAUCAACUCAUUAGUAGAUAUCGGCUUUUCUGAAAACGAAGCAAAUAUGGCUAUUACAAGAUGUGGUAUGACUCUUUUUUAAAUUGUUGCCUUGAUGUUCAUUUUCCCAUGGAAAAGGCGACUAAUGAUAUAUAUAUAUAUAUAUAUAGUCACAGAUCGGUGCUUCGAUUCAUUUGGAGGGAGAAAGAAAGCAAGAUUGAUGGAAGAGAGCAAGAAAAAGAGGAAGCGGUAUGAAGGUAGAGCACAUGGAAAUCAAUCCUCCUUGGAUGGUAGCCAUGAUGAACCAAUGCCUCUCCCAAAUCCAAUGGUUGGAAUUCUUCCUAAACAAGAUAGUGGACCACCCUUUUUCUACUAUGAAAAUGUGGCCCAAGCUCCCAAAGGCGUAUGGGCGACCAUUUCAAGAUUUCUUUAUGACAUUAUACCUGAGCUUGUGGAUUCUAAGCAUUUGUGUGCAACCGCAAGGAAAAGAGACUACAUCCAUAAUUUGCCAAUUGAGAAUAGAUCACCUCUUCUUCCUAUGCCUCCAAAGACCAUAUUAGAGGCAUUCCCUCAUUACAAGAAGUGGUGGCCUUCAUGGGACCUGAGAACACAGCUCAAUUGCUUGCGAACAAAUUUCGCAAGUGCGAAGCUGAUAGAACGGAUCGGGCAUGCUCUUGCAAGCUCGGACAGUCCACCGGCUCGAAGUGUUCAAAAAUAUGUCAUGAAUGAGUGUAGAAAAGGGAAUCUUGUCUGGAUUGGAAAGAACAAGGUUGCUCCAUUGGAGCCUGAAGAGAUGGAAUAUCUACUCGGUUUCCCAAAGGAUCACACAAGGGGACUCGGCAUCACGGAGAGAUACAAGUCCCUCGGCAACACAUUUCAAGUUGAUACAGUUGCUUACCACUUGUCAGUUUUGAAGUUCAUGUUUCCCAAUGGUGUUAAUGUGUUGUCCUUAUUCACCGGUAUUGGAGGAGGAGAGGUAGCUUUGCACAGGCUGGGCAUCCACAUGUAGGCAGUGGUCUCUGUAGAGAUAAGAAAAGCUAAUAAGAGGAUUUUUAAGGGUUGGUGGGAUCAGACUCAGACAGGCACGCUCAUUGAGAUUGAUGAUGUGAAAUCUCUUACUGAUGAUAGAAUUUUAUCAUUUGUUAGUAGAUUUGGCGGCUUCGACUUGGUGAUUGAGGGCAGCCCAUGUAACAAUCUUGCCGGGUGCAACAGAUACAACCGUGAUGGCUUGGAGGGCGAGCAAUCUGCUUUGUUCUACCACUACUUCAGAAUCUUGAACGCGGUCAAGUCAGCUAUGGCGAGGAUGUAG